rnacentral:rRNA from 1 species
UAGUCUGGUGCCAGCAGCCGCGGUAAUUCCAGCUCCAAUAGCGUAUAUUAAAGUUGUUGCAGUUAAAACGCUCGUAGUCGGAUUUCGGGGCAGGUUUGCCGGUCUGCCGAUGGGUAUGCACUGGUAGAACUGUCCUUCCUUCCGGAGACGGCGCCUACUCUUAACUGAGCGGGUGUCGGAGACGGAUCGUUUACUUUGAAAAAAUCAGAGUGUUUCAAGCAGGCAGCUCGCUUUUGCAUGGAUUAGCAUGGGAUAAUGAAAUAGGACUUUGGUGCUAUUUUGUUGGUUUCGAACACCGAAGUAAUGAUUAACAGGGACAGUNAGGGGCACUCGUAUUCCGCCGAGAGAGGUGAAAUUCUUAGACCAGCGGAAGACGAACCACUGCGAAAGCAUUUGCCAGGGAUGUUUUCACUGAUCAAGAACGAAAGUUAGGGGAUCGAAGACGAUCAGAUACCGUCGUAGUCUUAACCAUAAACCAUGCCGACUAGGGAUUGGAGGAUGUUCCUAUGUGACUCCUUCAGCACCUUUCGGGAAACUAAAGUCUUUGGGUUCCGGGGGGAGUAUGGUCGCAAGGCUGAAACUUAAAGGAAUUGACGGAAGGGCACCACCAGGAGUGGAGCCUGCGGCUUAAUUUGACUCAACACGGGGAAACUUACCAGGUCCAGACAUUGUGAGGAUUGACAGAUUGAGAGCUCUUUCUUGAUUCGAUGGGUGGUGGUGCAUGGCCGUUCUU